AUACUUUACAUAGGGCUGCCUUUAAAGAGUGCUCGGAAACUUCCGCUUGUCCAAAGAGCUGCAGCCAGGGUGCUAACCCCUGCGAUUUCCCCAAAUGCGGGAAACUCGACUGCAUAAUUAGUGGUAGGGCUGGCUGCAGGGAGCAGACAACCCCCCUGUUGCAGCAGCUC
rnacentral:snRNA from 11 species